CAAAAAAGAAAAAAGAAACUCACAGCCUGUGACGCCAUAAAGAGGGCAGGACAUGAGUUAUGCAGCCUUGGACCAGCUGCUGUGAAACUUACGGCCUGAGUCUCGCUGUGUUGCCCAGGCUGCAGUG